UCAUUCAUUUGUGCCAUUAUUAAUUUGGG
rnacentral:piRNA from 1 species